rnacentral:lncRNA from 1 species
AGUGGACUCGGGAUAAAGGUAGGUUAUUUUUCCUUUAUUUCUUGCUCUUUCUCAUCUUUGGCUAUGGCUGUUUUUAAAUAUCAAUCGUUUCUCUUUUACGUAUAUUGACUCUUGAUUGGUUUUGAGAGUCAACAUCGUGCCAUGAAUCUUCAAAACCCCAAUCACAUGAAAAUUUCCCUUCUUUCCUAGUUUCUUGGACAGAUUCCCUCUCUCCUCGCUUCCCCUCUUAUGUGUGAAGUGUCAUUUGGCUCUUCUUGCACUGCCGUUUGGCUCCAUUGAGAAAAUUCCCUCUUCUUGUGCCCUGUCGGGGAAAUGGACUGGGAAGUGUGUGUGAGAUCCUUUCCCACGGUGGUCCCCUGAACAAACUCAGAUGCUCCAAUACAUUCUUGGUUCUUUGCAGUCGUGGGAAGAAGCCGGCAGCUACAGUACCGGAAGGAUCUCCAUCUCCAAUUGAUGCUUUCAAGGAGCCGAUCGACAUUCCUCCGCUUCCUCUAGAAGAGCUUCUAAGCAGGUAGGUAAGCAUCUCGCACCAGCAGGAGCUUAAGGAUGCCAUCAACACGAUGAAGGCAUCCAAGAGGAUGGAAUGGCUUUCAUCUAGGAGAUCCAGAAGAACCAGAGGGGCGGGUGGAUGGAGCUCAAGGGAACAUCUUUGAUGCAUGUGCUGACCCAAGGACUCCCGGCCGACAAGCCUCGAUGGAACAAGAGUCCACACACGUUUGCAGUGGCAUCCUAGGGUUUUGGUCCUCAAGAUCAGUCCCUUUCCUUGAUCCAUACGGUUUUCACUUUGGGAACAUUGACAAGGGAGAUGGAUUGGGCAUGGGAAAUGGACUGCUGACCAGAGGAUCUUUGUUCCCAAGGCAGUCAAUGCCUUUUGGGGGUUUGUCAGCAUGUUCACAAGGUCCAGUCUUUUCUAGCAUUCCAACAUUUUCAUUUCCUCCACCGCAUUUCCAAUGAGCACCAGUCACAGAGGAAGCACAUUCUCUCAAUAGGACCCCCCAAUAUUCAGCAUGGGUUGAAGAUCAUCUCACACUUUUGCAAUAAGGUUAAAACUUUAAUAACUAAACAUUGAUAAUUAAUAUCAUAUUAUCCAUAAAUUAAAUAGAGAGAUUAAAUGAUGUAUUGUGCAACAUUUUAAGAAAGCUAACUGUUAAAGAUUGGGACAAA